GCUCCGGUGGCCUAGUGGUUAGAGCGUCCGCCUCGGAUGCGGGGGGGGGUCGUGGGUUUUAUCCCCGGUCGAAUCA